GGUGAACGCUGGCGGCGUGCCUAAUACAUGCAAGUCGAGCGAAAGGACGAGAAGCGCGCGCUUCUAAGGUUAGCGGCGGACGGGUGAGUAACACAUGGAUCACCUUCUUAUUAUACGGGGAUAAUAUCGGGAGACCGGAGAUAAUACCACAUAAUACUAUCAACCGCAUGGUGCAAGAGAGAAUGACGGUCUUCCCGUCACUUAUAGAUGGAGCCGCGCUGCAUUAGCUAGUUGGUAAGGUAACAGCUAACCAAGGCAACGAUGCAUAGCCGACCUGAGGGGGUGAUCGGCCACACUGGAACUGAGACACGGUCCAGACUCCUACGGGAGGCAGCAGUAGGGAAUCUUCCACAAUGGGCGAAAGCCUGAUCUAGCCACGCCGCGUGAGUGAAGAAGGUCUUCGGAUCUUAAAGCUCUUUUAUUGGGGAAGAACAUAUGUGUAAGUAACUGCGCCCGUCUUGACGGUACCUAAUCAGAAAGCCCCGGCUAACUUCGUG
rnacentral:rRNA from 1 species